UUAAUUUUGUCACGAAUCGUCGGCGUGUUCGACGGCGUCGUUUAACGGUGCCUCCAGUCUACUGCGCUCCGUCUGAGCGGCGCCAUGAGAGCGGCUGCGCCGGCGGCUCUCCUGGCUAACGCCCGCAUAUGUGCCCUCGCAAAUCCCAUUGUAGUGGCGGCCGGGGCGCCGGUCAUCCGGCCGUUCCCCUUUGUGGUGGUACGGCAACUCCAUCAAAGCUGCAGUCUGCUCCCACGCUCGCAUCGUCGAGCGGAGUUUCCUCAUCUAGCGGCAGAUGGAAGGUGUCCUGAAGCUAGCUUGCACGGUUAGUGCUGUUCUGCGGGCUAGCAUAGCAUGGCUCCGAAUUAGUUGUUUCAUUAAUUUAUUUGGGAAUCAUGUAUUAUUUGGGAAACUGGAUCUGAAUUGCUGGGUCUAUCUAAGAAAAAAUAGAUACAGGAAGUGAGAAAAGGAUCUUUCUUCAUGUAUGCUUAUGUAACUUUAGUACUUGGUUUAAAGUAAUCUUUAGUGAGUCUGUCUCCUCGUCUGAACUACACAUGGUGAUGCAUACAUAAGCAUCUUGGUUUUCUCAAAUCAGUUGUGAGCCCUUACACCAAUAUUUUUGUUUAGAUGUAGAUGCAGAUAGAAGUACCUUGUUCACAAAUAUAAUAUUGCUGAGACAAUAAUUUUAAACAGAAAAGGCAGCCAUGUCCGCAUUACAUUUAGACAAAUAAGAAUGUUUCUUCUUGUUCUAAUCAUAGCGGCAACAAAUCAAAUAUCUAUAAUACAUCCUUGUAAAUAAUGUUUUUUGCAACGCUGCCGAAUGGAUGCUCUUCAUCCGCUGCAACAUAUAGUUGACCAUGUGUGAACAUUUACCUUUAUAAGUACAGCCCAACCUUUUUGAGAGAUUGCCCCUAACUUUUGUUCAUAGUCAUAGCAAAAUCACACUGAUAUUGGGUAUUCUCUCAGCAAUGUUAGGUCCGUUUAUGACCUGGCCUUCGAUGAUCUGCCUUCCUAACUGUGUUAUUGUUAGUCUUGUCCCAUUGCAAAGUCCCACACUUUGAUUGAUUUUUCUCAUAAGCAUUACUUGAAAAUCCAACUUUCAGCCUCAGUUCAUGUCUGGUAUUCAAGAAAAUUUAAGAGUAUUUAGAAACUCAGCUGGGAACAAAAUAUAUUCAUCUUCCACCAUAGACAUUUGUUUGCAUGUUGUAUCUGAACUAAGAUAUGUUACCUCUUCUCCAGGAAUUUGACUCAUGAUGUGGGUGUUAAUCUUGUCAACAAUCUCGUUUCUUGGGCACAUGAUUGCUCUUUCUUCUAGGUAUGUUCUAUGAGUGUACCUGCUUUGUAAGUCAGGAUAUUAGAUGCUAUUAACAAUGGAUGCUUUGGGGUUAUCUCCUUCAUGUAAAAUAAGGUCUCCUGGGAUGCUAAUUCAAUCUUCUUCAUUUGUUGUUGUUGCUGCGCCAUUGCCGAUGCUUUGCAUCCAGCUUGGAAAUUCCGCCGUAUUUGCUUUCUUUACUGGACUACCUUCGGAUGAAUUCAGACACAUAUUUUUGUGAGUCAGUACUCCUGAAAGUUCUUCAAUAGGUAGGAUCUCUUUAUAUAUGCGGAAAUAACAUGUUCCCUUGUCCCCAUUGGUAUAGCUGGUAGGAUUUGCCUGGACUCACCUCCCAAGACUAUAGUCAUUCCUCCAAAUGUUCUAUGCUCGACAUCCUCAUUUGUGAAUCGAAGUAUGUCUCUCAAACUCUUGUCAGUGCUUGUGUGUCAUAGGUGCUUCAUCCCAUAUUAUCAAUGAAGUUCUCGUUAUUAGCUCCGCAAAACAUGUUCCUAGCUUGAUGUCGCAUGUGUACUUGUUAGUGAUCUUUAGUGGAGUGUGGAAUCUUGAAUGAGAUGUGCUUCCACCCUGUAAAAGAGGUGCUGCUAUACCACUUGAAGCUACUGCUAGAAGUAUCUUUUCUUUGGACCUUAAUUUUGUCGUAGAUGCUUUCCACGGAAACGUCUUCCCUGUUCCACUAUAUCUAUCAACAAAAAUCAAUUUGUCGAGACUACAGUAAACUAAUUAUAUUAUAACAUCAAAAGCCAUCCUGUGAUAAUCAUUCUUGGACCAGUGGCCUAAACUUGUUAACCAUAUGUUUCAUUACCAUGUCGUGUAUCAUAGUGCCCUAAAACAUAAUAAUAUAGUGAGGAGAUGCAUCGAUAUAUAACUCAUAGUGGCCUAUUUAUGUUGGAAAACCAUAUUCUUUUACCAAUGAGCUGACAUUUUCAUCAAGUAGUAUCAUGUCAAGGCUAAUAAGUUCAUUGUUGUUGAGGUUAAUGCAUCACAUAGCCUAAUUACUCUGACCUUCACUUUCCAGGAUUCCUUUCCAUUGGUAAUGGCAUGGAGCAUAUCAUAUGCUAUCAUUUUUGAAGGAAAAGGAGUGACCUGUAAGCGAACACAGUUUCAUGAUUAGUACUUGUUCAGUCUCUGCCAACUCCAAGGCUUUAAUUGGAAAGAAUGAUUAGCUCAUGGUCUUCAUGUUGUUUGUAAGAAAUAAGAUGUGCAUAGCCUAAGCUCAUGGUCUUCAUGUUGUUUGUACUCCCUCCGUAAUGAAAUAUGAUAGCGUUUAGAUCACUACUUUAGUUAUCUAAAUGCUCUUAUAUUUUUUUACAGUAGGAGUAAGAAUGAAGAGGUGCAUAGCCUAAUAAUAUAAC
rnacentral:lncRNA from 1 species